rnacentral:rRNA from 1 species
UACGUAGGGCGCAAGCGUUGUCCGGAAUUAUUGGGCGUAAAGAGCUCGUAGGCGGUUUGUCGCGUCUGCUGUGAAAACCUAAGGCUCAACCUUGGGCUUGCAGUGGGUACGGGCAGACUAGAGUGCGGUAGGGGUGACUGGAAUUCCUGGUGUAGCGGUGGAAUGCGCAGAUAUCAGGAGGAACACCGAUGGCGAAGGCAGGUCACUGGGCCGCAAACUGACGCUGGAG